AGAGUUUGAUCAUGGCUCAGAUUGAACGCUGGCGGCAGGCCUAACACAUGCAAGUCGAGCGGUAGCACAGAGAGCUUGCUCUCGGGUGACGAGCGGCGGACGGGUGAGUAAUGUCUGGGAAACUGCCUGAUGGAGGGGGAUAACUACUGGAAACGGUAGCUAAUACCGCAUAACGUCGCAAGACCAAAGUGGGGGACCUUCGGGCCUCAUGCCAUCAGAUGUGCCCAGAUGGGAUUAGCUAGUAGGUGGGGUAACGGCUCACCUAGGCGACGAUCCCUAGCUGGUCUGAGAGGAUGACCAGCCACACUGGAACUGAGACACGGUCCAGACUCCUACGGGAGGCAGCAGUGGGGAAUAUUGCACAAUGGGCGCAAGCCUGAUGCAGCCAUGCCGCGUGUGUGAAGAAGGCCUUCGGGUUGUAAAGCACUUUCAGCGGGGAGGAAGGCGUUAAGGUUAAUAACCUCAUCGAUUGACGUUACCCGCAGAAGAAGCACCGGCUAACUCCGUGCCAGCAGCCGCGGUAAUACGGAGGGUGCAAGCGUUAAUCGGAAUUACUGGGCGUAAAGCGCACGCAGGCGGUCUGUCAAGUCGGAUGUGAAAUCCCCGGGCUCAACCUGGGAACUGCAUUCGAAACUGGCAGGCUAGAGUCUUGUAGAGGGGGGUAGAAUUCCAGGUGUAGCGGUGAAAUGCGUAGAGAUCUGGAGGAAUACCGGUGGCGAAGGCGGCCCCCUGGACAAAGACUGACGCUCAGGUGCGAAAGCGUGGGGAGCAAACAGGAUUAGAUACCCUGGUAGUCCACGCCGUAAACGAUGUCGAUUUGGAGGUUGUGCCCUUGAGGCGUGGCUUCCGGAGCUAACGCGUUAAAUCGACCGCCUGGGGAGUACGGCCGCAAGGUUAAAACUCAAAUGAAUUGACGGGGGCCCGCACAAGCGGUGGAGCAUGUGGUUUAAUUCGAUGCAACGCGAAGAACCUUACCUGGUCUUGACAUCCACAGAACUUUCCAGAGAUGGAUUGGUGCCUUCGGGAACUGUGAGACAGGUGCUGCAUGGCUGUCGUCAGCUCGUGUUGUGAAAUGUUGGGUUAAGUCCCGCAACGAGCGCAACCCUUAUCCUUUGUUGCCAGCGGUUCGGCCGGGAACUCAAAGGAGACUGCCAGUGAUAAACUGGAGGAAGGUGGGGAUGACGUCAAGUCAUCAUGGCCCUUACGACCAGGGCUACACACGUGCUACAAUGGCAUAUACAAAGAGAAGCGACCUCGCGAGAGCAAGCGGACCUCAUAAAGUAUGUCGUAGUCCGGAUUGGAGUCUGCAACUCGACUCCAUGAAGUCGGAAUCGCUAGUAAUCGUAGAUCAGAAUGCUACGGUGAAUACGUUCCCGGGCCUUGUACACACCGCCCGUCACACCAUGGGAGUGGGUUGCAAAAGAAGUAGGUAGCUUAACCUUCGGGAGGGCGCUUACCACUUUGUGAUUCAUGACUGGGGUGAAGUCGUAACAAGGUAACCGUAGGGGAACCUGCGGUUGGAUCACCU
rnacentral:rRNA from 1 species